GCUAUCUGCAAGAGCGCUUCUGAAGCUUACUUAUUACUCAUGUGUUGAUCUCAAUGGACAUUUCAUUUUGCAGCAGACUACCUUAGAACAGAUGUUCUGCAAAGGAACUAGGAACUGUUUCAGAGAAGCACAGAAAUCCAAAGCCAGAAGAGAAUAACCCAAUAUUCUGACAUUUUGAAGUUGUUAAGAAAAGCAAGAUAUUUGAAAGAUUGGAACUAAAACAUCUGGUACUGGUAAUACAUCAGAGGCCUGAAGUUCAAGUCACGUUAUAUUGGAAGAAAUUGUGAGAUCCAAGACUGAUGAGAAGAGUGGGAGCCACUGCACUCCACUAAGCAGAACUUUCCUUAGCUCACAGGUUCUUGGGGAAACAUGAAACUCAGUGUCUCUUCUUCUGCAUGGUAGGUUAUUACCAAAUGCAGAAAUGCCACAUCCUUCAUAUACUCAAGAUUCCCAUAAAUACUUGGUU